UGUUGUUCUUCCCCAAAAUUGUAUUAAAUCAAAACUAACCCACAGUUCUAAACUCACUCAAGCGUGGAUUUAUUAAUAAACUAUCUGCCACUUUUGUUGACCAAGGUUUGUUUAAUAAACCCAAUCGCUGGUUCCACACAGAUCAGUGUUGUUAUUGAAUCGCACUUCUAUCGUUGCUGUUCUUGUUGCAACUCCGGUGACGUAUAUCGAUUCCGGCGAGCAAGUUUCCAAUCGCAGGUGUCAAACAAAGCCCCUCAAUCGACAGCCCCUUGUUCGCAGGUUUGUUGAUCUUCGCUCUUUACGUCGCUCGGCGGUAAUCACCUCUAAUCAUAGGUAAUCACCUCGGUUCACAAGUACCAAUCAACCACUUGUUCGCAGGUUGAUUGAAUACUGGUCCAAAUUUCGAUCUCUGGUAUCAACUUCCUCUUGCUCGCAGUUAAUUGAUUUACACAGUGGGAGGCAUGGUGAUCUGUGUUGGGCUUGGUGGAUUGACUGCUUAUGCUGGGUUCUUUGAAAUUUGUAAGCCAAACAAGAGUGAAAAGGUCUUUGUCCCAGCUACUUCUGGAUCGUAGGAAAUUUGAUGAGUCAAUAUGCUAAGCAUUUUGGGUGCUAUGUUGUGGGUUGUGCCAGAAGCCCAAAUAAGGUUUACCAUGUU
rnacentral:lncRNA from 1 species